CUUUUGGAGAGUUUGAUCCUGGCUCAGGACGAACGCUGGCGGCGUGCCUAAUACAUGCAAGUCGAGCGGACCGAACGAG
rnacentral:rRNA from 1 species